rnacentral:misc_RNA from 1 species
UUAGAGCCUUUGAUCCAGACAAUGACUUAUAUACCUAAAAAAAUGCAACACUAUGCGCAUGCAGCCAUGAAUCUGAUCAACAUGGACUCGGAGAACCGGGUGGUGCUCAAUGUGGGUGGCAUUCGGCAUGAAACCUACAAGGCCACACUGAAAAAGAUUCCGGCUACGCGAUUAUCGCGACUGACAGAGGCCCUGGCCAACUAUGAUCCGAUACUGAAUGAGUACUUCUUUGAUCGGCAUCCGGGCGUCUUCGCACAAGUGCUCAACUAUUACAGAACUGGAAAGCUGCAUUAUCCCACGGAUGUGUGCGGACCGCUGUUUGAGGAGGAAUUGGAGUUCUGGGGCCUAGACUCGAACCAAGUGGAGCCCUGCUGUUGGAUGACCUACACACAGCAUCGCGACACCCAGGAAACCCUAGCCGUACUCGAUCGUCUCGAUCUGGAUACGGAAAAACCGUCCGAGGAGGAACUGGCACGCAAAUUUGGCUUCGAGGAGGACUACUACAAAGGCACCAUAUCCUGGUGGCAGGAAAUGAAGCCGCGCAUUUGGUCCUUGUUCGAUGAGCCCUACAGUUCCAAUGCAGCCAAGACUAUUGGCGUGGUUUCGGUGUUCUUCAUCUGCAUUUCGAUCCUGUCGUUCUGCCUGAAGACCCAUCCCGACAUGCGGGUGCCCAUCGUCCGGAAUAUUACAGUGAAAACUGCGAAUGGAAGUAAUGGCUGGUUUCUGGACAAAACGCAGACCAAUGCGCACAUAGCCUUCUUCUAUAUCGAAUGCGUGUGCAAUGCCUGGUUUACCUUUGAAAUAUUGGUGCGCUUUAUCUCAUCGCCGAACAAGUGGGAAUUCAUCAAGUCAUCUGUUAACAUCAUAGACUACAUAGCGACGCUUAGUUUUUAUAUCGAUCUAGUGCUUCAGCGGUUCGCAUCGCACCUGGAGAACGCUGACAUCCUCGAGUUCUUCUCGAUCAUCCGCAUCAUGCGUCUGUUCAAGCUGACGCGUCACUCGUCCGGACUGAAGAUCCUAAUCCAGACGUUCCGUGCCUCGGCCAAGGAGCUAACCCUGCUGGUGUUCUUCCUUGUCCUGGGCAUCGUGAUCUUUGCCAGCCUCGUCUACUAUGCGGAACGCAUCCAGCCGAAUCCCCACAACGAUUUCAACAGCAUACCGCUGGGCCUGUGGUGGGCCCUGGUCACCAUGACCACCGUCGGCUACGGUGACAUGGCCCCCAAAACCUACAUCGGCAUGUUCGUGGGCGCCCUCUGCGCCCUAGCCGGCGUACUAACCAUCGCACUGCCAGUGCCCGUCAUCGUCAGCAACUUCGCCAUGUACUACUCGCACACGCAGGCCAGGGCCAAACUGCCAAAGAAGCGGAGACGAGUGCUUCCCGUCGAGCAACCGCGGCAGCCCAGACUGCCAGGUGCACCUGGUGGUGUCAGUGGCUGUGGCACCCCGGGCUCGGGUCCCCACUCCGGUCCCAUGGGAUCCGGCGGUACUGGACCACGUCGCAUGAACAAUAAAACCAAGGACCUGGUCAGUCCCAAGUCAGAUGAAUAUACAACAAUGAUUGGCAAACCGCGCGAUGGCAAAAAGAGCAGGCUGCUCUAAGCCAACAAACACAACAGCAACAACAUGAACCACGAUACGACAACAACCACAACCACAACAAAACCAGCUGAAGAACCAAUAUUCCCCCAAAUACCAUUACUUCCAAACUAGAACUUGCAAUGAGAGAUGAUGAUGAUAUUUUCCCAUAUAAGAAUUUGGCAAACUGAUCUAUCAGAGUAAACGAAGGAAAAGUUGAGAGAAACCGAAAACGCAACCCAAGGACUGGAUAAAGAUCAUAUAGCGGAUAUAGACCAUAUUGGAUCGUGGUACGUGGAUCGAAGGCACACUUUCUGGAUGCCAAAUAGCCAUAGAUACAUACAUAUAUGAAUACUCGUAUGGUUACUUUGAAUAUGGACGACGUCUGCUACUGAUAUCUACUGUCACUACUACCACUCCAACCUGCUAUAUAAUCGUAUAUAUAACUACAAUAUUUGCUCAACUUUUCGCAGGUCCGCUGGGCGCAAGCAUUGUGGCCAUGAGUCCCAGGACAAUGUUGGAUCUCAAU